rnacentral:other from 1 species
AAAACGGCCAGCCUCAGGAGCUGCUGCGAGAAAUUGCUGCGUUUCCAGAGCGUGACUCCCGUUGUCCCGAGGCUUCCCAGAGCGAACCUGUGCGGCUGCAGGCACCAGCGCCGUUGAGUUUCCGGCGUUCCGGAGGAGUGAGCUCUUGUCGUGCGGGUCCGGUCCGCCGUUUCCAGUCCCGAAUCUCGGAGCGGAGCAAGACAGCCAGGGCACCGGCAUGG